CUACUCUACUAAAGAGUAUGUGAACAGAGUACGCUAGCACUGGAUGUGUACUAUUCUAACAUACUGUUUAGUAAAGUAGUGUGUGUUUGAACCUAUGUGUACGGACUGAACCUGUCUGGGACCACAAUGAUGCCUGGACUCCGGGUUUAUUCGUUUAUUUUCUUCAUCUCAGUCUUCGUUGGUGAGACGAUAGCAAACGAAAGGCCCUAUGCGGUGCUGCAAAAGCAGAAUUUGGUGCUGCUCAUCACCGUCCUGUCCGUUCUCCUGGUGGCUAUGCUGGUCAUGGCGGUGUGUGUGUACAAGCCGCUGAGAGCUCGGUGACUGACCAAGUUUGGUUUUUGCCUUAGUUUGAUUUCCUUUCUUAAGUUGAUAUUAAGUUUAGCAGAUGAUGGAGAGAGGAGCUGGGAUUUGAGGAGCAGAGCCUCAGAUGGAGCAGUGUUUACGGACGAAUCAUCUGACCUUCAGCUUUUCCUGUGGACAAAAAGCCUGUAGUGUAGAAUCAUGGGUAAUUUGGUGUUCUGAGGACUUUCCUUUUGGUGAAAUUAGGGAAAUCAGGGAAACCGUUUCUGACUUCUCUUCAGAUUUUAGUUCUCCGAUCACAGUGUUUUAGUCAUUUCCCUGCUCUAACGCACCUGAUUGAAAUUUGUUUAUGUUGCUUCAGAUGUGGAAUGUGUUUAAAAAUGUGCAGCUUACUUUACAGAUUUAGCGUAGCUCAUUGCUGGCCAGACAUGUUUCCAUGUUUAAAUAUAUCUGGCUGCUGUAACACACAGUGUUUGCUAACAUUAAGUCUUCUCACUGUUUCACACAGGAGGUAACGCUGGUUUAAUUUUCUAGCUAGCAAGCGAAAAACCUCACACAAUCCUGACAGUAGCGCAGAAGCCAGUCGCAUGUUUAUAUAAACUUGCUUGUUUCCAUGCAUGAAUUGGUUUAUUCCACAGCAACAGACUGCUAAAUGUGUAGCGGUACACUGCAUGCAAGGUUUGAUGGUAACAUUAGAAGCGGUGAUAGAAGCUUAGAGAAGUAGACUGAUAUGAAAACCUAAUCUCAUGAUGAGAGUUUAGCCGGUGUGUUAGCGCAGGGAAACUCUGACGCUAGAGCUUCACAGAUGGACUGCAGUAAUCUCAUUCUGUUCAACCUGAUGUCAUUAUCAUGUUUAAUGUAUAUGGAGUCGAACAUGAGCCUGUGUUUGAAUCAGGGGGAAAAAGGCGAGGCGCUUCAUGGCUUCUGCACUCGCCGAGUUUCUUUCAAAUGAUGCUGAAUCUUAUUUAUUUCUCUACUCAGUGUUGGUUUUAUGUAUUUAUUAUCAUAUGAUUUUCUGUGAGAUUUUGUGUAUUUUUAUUUGGGCAAUAAAGCUGAACUGAAGCCUGCGUUUACAUGCUGUUCACGUUUCUGUGUUGCGUAAAAAAACUUCUCCGUAGUUUGUAGUGUUCCAUAGCAGAAGUAUGUUGUCAUUUUCUGUAAAAAUUAAACCGUGUAGUUUGUGAUUAGUGAAAGUAUUCACACCCUUAUGGAUUCAGGAGCUAUUACCAGAAAUCACACAGUUAUCUAAACAGCGGUUUGUACAUGAAGUGUCACGUGAUCCUGCCGUCAGUCCUGAGAACCCAGUUUGCUGGAGAACACAACUGAAUAAACAUGGAGCUCCCGAAACAAUUCUGGGGCAAAGUGCUGGAAAAGAAUCAGUUAGGUCAGGUUAUAAAUAAAAUAUCCGAAACUUUGAACGUCACACAGAAUUAAAUGAAAUUUAUUAACUAAAAAAUAUGACAGCACACAUGACUCAACAAAUAUCAAUAACCUGAGGAUGAAAUCAUUGGUGAUGAUUUAUAUCACGUCAUUGACGUAAUACGAGUGAUGUCUUUAAACAUAUUUUAAGUAUGUAAAGUCUUCACCUUCUCAGUGACUUGAUGAAAUCUCAGAUCUAGGGGGCGUGUCAGGUGAUUACACCAUCACUGAUCCUGCAUGAAUCUGUGGAAAAGAAAUGAACCGCAGCCUCGUUCCUCAUGUCACAUCCCCCUGUGAUGGUGCUUUGCUCGGUUUUAUGCUUUCUAGAGAUUUCACAAAUAAUCUGAUGUGAAAAUGAAACCUGAUACAGAGGCCUUGACAUCUUAGAAAGAGAGGCGUGGCUUAACCCUGAAGCCUUAAUGCUGAACGCCGUCCGCCUCAGUCAUCAUACAGCAUGCUUCCUGUUUCCCCAUCAGAGCUGACAUCAUGUAGCACAUGUAUGAUACCUGACGGCUGAUUGAUCUAAUCCAAUCUGCAUUU